GCCAUCAAGACUGAAGUGUCCAGUGAUUCGAGAAGUCAGUCAUGGCUUGUGUUUGUAAGAUUUCAGGCUUUCUGGAACGUUCUCUGAUCAGAAGGAAGAGAAGACAUCUGGAAAUGAACUGACCCAACACAUCUUCAUGAAGUAUGGGGGUCCACAACGGCUGUUUAAGUGAGAGUGUUAAAUUUAAAGGACUCCAUAGAAGAUGCCUUGUCCACGGAAACAUUGCAACUUGGUUAUAUGACUCAAAUUCUGAUGUAACUGCUAAUUUCCUGAGGGCAUACACUUUAUGUCUUGAUUUCCAAAAUUAAAGUCAUAAUUUAUGCUCAAGAAACUAA